rnacentral:rRNA from 1 species
ACGGAAGGCAGCAGUGGGGGAUAUUGCACAAUGGGGGAAACCCUGAUGCAGCGACGCCGCGUGAGUGAAGAAGUAUUUCGGUAUGUAAAGCUCUAUCAGCAGGAAAGAUAAUGACGGUACCUGGCUAAGAAGCACCGGCUAAAUACGUGCCAGCAGCCGCGGUAAUACGUAUGGUGCAAGCGUUAUCCGGAUUUACUGGGUGUAAAGGGAGCGCAGACGGCAUGGCAAGCCAGAUGUGAAAGGCAGGGGCUCAACCCCUGGACUGCAUUUGGAACUGUCAAGCUAGAGUAUCGGAGAGGUAAGUGGAAUCCCUAGUGUAGCGGUGAAAUGCGUAGAUAUUAGGAGGAACACCAGUGGCGAAGGCGGCUUACUGGACGAUAACUGACGUUGAGGCUCGAAAGCGUGGGGAGCAAACAGGAUUAGAUACCCUGGUA